rnacentral:misc_RNA from 1 species
GAUGAAGAACGUAGCGAAAUGCGAUAAGUAAUGUGAAUUGCAGAAUUCAGUGAAUCAUCGAAUCUUUGAACGCACAUUGCGCCCGCCAGUAUUCUGGCGGGCAUCCCUGUCUGAGCGUCAUUUCAACCCUCAUGCCCCUAGGGCGUGGUGUUGGGGAUCGGCCAAAGCCCGCGAGGGACGGCCGGCCCCUAAAUCUAGUGGCGGACCCGUCGUGGCCUCCUCUGCGAAGUAGUGAUAUUCCGCAUCGGAGAGCGACGAGCCCCUGCCGUUAAACCCCCAACUUUCCAAGGUUGACCUCAGAUCAGGUAGGAAUACCCGCUGAACUUAAGCAUAUCAAUAAGCGGAGGA